UCCCCCUUAGCUCAGUGGUAGAGCGCGUCGCUAGUAUAAAAGGCUACGUCCGAUUUGAUGACGAGGUCAGUCGUUCAAGUCGGCUAGGGGGAA